rnacentral:lncRNA from 1 species
AUUUUGUAGUGGAACUUUCCUUGAGAAUUUUCCCUGAUCAUUUUCAAAAGUAGGAUUGAUAACAUUUGAAUAAGCUGAAUUGGUAACUUUAUCAGAAGCUGAAUUAGAUCCUGAAAAAAAUUGAAAAUAUGUAUUUUAAGUUGUUGUUAGGAACAUGAUACAUAUAUCUUCUACUUGUGACUGAUUCACAAUAUAUAUUUUCAAAAAUCCAUCAAAGUAUGUAAGUUUGCAUUGUAACCUUUUUGGUAUUCACUCCGUCGUGUUGAUUUUGGAGUAUUGUAUGUACCUUCUGUGAGAGUGUUAAUGAAACAUGAUGUAGGAGAAAAGUACUUGGGAUUUGGAGUUCGGAUUCUUUUUGAUUGAACGGUUAAGUUCAAAUCUUGAGAUAUGUUUUGAGUCAUAGUAGAAC